GAUGAACGCUGGCGGCGUGCCUAAUACAUGCAAGUCGAGCGAACAGAUGAGGAGCUUGCUCCUCUGACGUUAGCGGCGGACGGGUGAGUAACACGUGGAUAACCUACCUAUAAGACUGGGAUAACUUCGGGAAACCGGAGCUAAUACCGGAUAAUAUAUUGAACCGCAUGGUUCAAUAGUGAAAGACGGUUUUGCUGUCACUUAUAGAGGGAUACGCGCCGCAUGAGCUAGUUGGUAAGGUAAAGGCUUACCAAGGCGACGAUGCGUAGCCGACGCGAGAGGGUGAUCGGCCACACUGGAGCUGAGACACGGUCCAGACUCCUACGGGACGCAGCAGUAGGGAAUCUUCCGCAACGGGCGAAAGCCUGACGGAGCAACGCCGCGUGAGUGAUGAAGGUCUUCGGAUCGUAAAACUCUGUUAUUAGGGAAGAACAAAUGUGUAAGUAACUAUGCACGUCUUGACGGUACCUAAUCAGAAAGCCACGGCUAACUACGUG
rnacentral:rRNA from 1 species